GAUGAACGCUGGCGGCGUGCUUAACACAUGCAAGUCGAACGGAAAGGCCCAAGCUUGCUUGGGUACUCGAGUGGCGAACGGGUGAGUAACACGUGGGUGAUCUGCCCCGCACUUCGGGAUAAGCCUGGGAAACUGGGUCUAAUACCGGAUAGGACGAUGGUUUGGAUGCCAUUGUGGAAAGUUUUUUCGGUGUGGGAUGAGCUCGCGGCCUAUCAGCUUGUUGGUGGGGUAAUGGCCUACCAAGGCGUCGACGGGUAGCCGGCCUGAGAGGGUGUACGGCCACAUUGGGACUGAGAUACGGCCCAGACUCCUACGGGAGGCAGCAGUGGGGAAUAUUGCACAAUGGGCGCAAGCCUGAUGCAGCGACGCCGCGUGGGGGAUGACGGCCUUCGGGUUGUAAACUCCUUUCGCUAGGGACGAAGCGUUUUUGUGACGGUACCUGGAGAAGAAGCACCGGCUAACUACGUG
rnacentral:rRNA from 1 species